rnacentral:tRNA from 1 species
GGCCGACAAAGGCAGAAAACUGUAGAUUUUCGCAUAGAGGAAAACC